rnacentral:rRNA from 1 species
CGCCUUUUGACAUCUUCAUAAAAGGUCCAGCCUGCCCAGUGACUUUUGUUCAACGGCCGCGGUAUCCUAACCGUGCAAAGGUAGCGUAAUCACUUGUUUUUUAAAUAAAGACUAGUAUGAAAGGCAUCACGAGGAUAAAGCUGUCUCCUUUUUUUGAUCAGUGAAACUAAUCUUCCCGUGAAGAAGCGGGAAUAUUUUAAUAAGACGAAAAGACCCUAUGGAGCUUUAAACAUUAUAGCACCUGUCAACCCCUCACAUCCCUCACCUCAGGCAUCAUUGACUAUAAGUUUUCGGUUGGGGCGACCACGGAGCAAAGUAAACCCUCCAAGUUGAUUCUACCCCUAAGCCCAGAGCCACAGCUCCAAGCAUUAAUAAAUUAACAUCAAUUGACCCAGUAUUCUGACCAACGAACCAAGUUACCCUAGGGAUAACAGCGCAAUCCACUUCAAGAGUCCUUAUCGACAAGUGGGUUUACGACCUCGAUGUUGGAUCAGGAUUUCCUAGUGGUGUAGCCGCUACUUUAGGUUCGUUUGUUCAACGAUUAAAAUCCU